rnacentral:rRNA from 1 species
UACGUAGGGCGCAAGCGUUAUCCGGAAUUAUUGGGCGUAAAGAGCUCGUAGGCGGUUUGUCGCGUCUGCCGUGAAAGUCCGGGGCUCAACUCCGGAUCUGCGGUGGGUACGGGCAGACUAGAGUGAUGUAGGGGAGACUGGAAUUCCUGGUGUAGCGGUGAAAUGCGCAGAUAUCAGGAGGAACACCGAUGGCGAAGGCAGGUCGCUGGGCAGUAACUGACGCUGAGGAGCGAAAGCAUGGGGAGCGAACAGG